CUCAUUAAAAUACAGCACCAGCACUGCUAUUUCUUUUGGUUUUCCUUUCAGAAUCCAUCAGAACUCAUACACAGAAAAUUAUACACAUGGGGAGCAGAACUACAACAUAGAUUCAAUAAACAUGGGUCUCCAUACAAAGAAGAAAUCAAGCUAGUUAGUAAAAGCCCUCACACUACUAAACUAUGUUGUACACUUACAAUAGCUUUGCUAAUCCGCAAAUCAACCCUAAAUUGGCAGGUGAGGUUUCCAUGGGUCGGGCCUUCGUUGUCUCCAAAAAUUCCAGACUACACACAGCCUUGAUCCCAGUCAAAUUAUACAGAAGCUGAUGUGAAUCUAAACAUGUACGAUUUUAAGAAUGUGUACGUAACAGCCUGGAAGCCAAAAAAAUUGAGGCAGCCUUGGAAACUGGAAAGUCGUCAAAUUACAUAGGCUAGGAAUCUAAAUAAAAAAGAAGCCACUUUCUAUGUGCAAACUUCUAUUCACAAAGAUAACAGACUAAGAAGCUAAUCGCCUAUCAAGUGAUGAUUUCUCUGACAAGCCAAUCCAAACUAGGAUAAGCAAAGUACAGUAUUAAAAAUGACGGAAUAGCAAACAGAACUGUAAUAAGAAUGUACAGGGCCAAAAUGGC
rnacentral:misc_RNA from 1 species